UACGUAGGUGGCGAGCGUUUGUCCGGAUUUACUGGGCGUAAAGAGCGCGCAGGCGGCUGGUCAAGUCCGAUGUGAAAGCUCCCGGCUUAACUGGGAAAUUGCAUCGGAAACUGAUCGGCUGGAAGGUGGGAGAGGGUAGCGGAAUUCCCGGUGUAGUGGUGAAAUGCGUAGAUAGUCGGGAGGAACACCGAUGGCGAAGGCAGAUCUCUGGGCCGUAACUGACGCUGAGGAGCGAAAGCAUGGGGAGCGAACAGG
rnacentral:rRNA from 1 species